AGAAACUCGGAGGCUGGCGUCGAGGCUAGACAUGGACUCCGCGCCUGGCCCCUUCCAGAUCCCAGUUUUCUAAAGUGACUUCGCACCAAAGUCCGGUCUUUUAUGAACUUGAAACACAUCGGCUAGGUCUUCAUCCUCACCUGCACUGGAAUUACCUACUUAAGAAAAACAAACUAAUGAUACACAAAGAAGCACUUAU
ensembl:lncRNA novel transcript, antisense to NKX2-4